rnacentral:rRNA from 1 species
UACGUAGGGUGCGAGCGUUCAUCGGAAUUACUGGGCGUAAAGCGUGCGUAGGCGGUUCCUCAAGUCCGUUGUGAAAGCCCCGGGCUCAACCUGGGAAUGGCAGUGGAAACUAGGGGACUGGAAUCUGGCAGAGGGGGGUGGAAUGCCGCGUGUAGCAGUGAAAUGCGUAGAGAUGCGGCGGAACACCGAUGGCGAAGGCAGCCCCCUGGGCUGAGAUUGACGCUCAGGCACGAAAGCGUGGGGAGCAAACAGG